GAUUAGUUUUUUGUUCCAUAGAUCCGUGCUGAGGUGAUCCUCGUGGAUGUGGAACAUGUCAAAUUUUUUAAAGCUGAAAUAACAAUACUAAUAGUAUGAGUAUGUACAAUACAUAAUUUGUUUCUAUUAAAAAUUCGUCAGUGCAGUAGGAGGAGUUGCUAACACUCGAAUUGCAAAUACAGGUUUGUUAAGGCGUUUCUGCAUUUCUGUGGUGUGCUCCUCCCAACUGAAUUUAUUAUAAAGUUGUAAUCCCAGGAAUUUAAGACUGUCAGCCUCUUCUAUCUGCUCUCCUUCAUGUGGAUCGGAGUUAUUGGCAAUGUUCAUGACCUAAGGAUUGAAAUUGUUUUCAGUAUGAAUAUGACGGUAAAGUGAAAAAGCGCCAUGUUGCGGGUGGAGACGGGAGAGGGCAUGUUGCCUUCAAUUAAGUUCCUGCAGGUGUUCGGAUUAAUAGUGGAAAUUAUGAAGUGUGGCGUUUUGCCGAGAGAAUAUGCGGUUGGUGAAAGUACUGGUGUCUCGGACCACGGACAUGUACACGUGUCGGUGUCGGAAGGACAAUGUUUGGAGCUCCAUUAGACGCGGUACCUGGUUCGAGAAAUCUAGGUAUGUCGCAUGGGGCACUUAACUAAACAAACUUCGUUCUCGGCUAGUGUUUGAAGCAAGCUAUCGAACUGUUCAUCAUUCCACCGCCUUACAGAACCACCCACUGUAACUGUUUUGAAGCCAUAGUUGCUUGCACCAUUCUCCCAGAGGUGGACUUGGGGAUGUAUUUGGGGGAGGAGUGAAACAGUCUUGUCAGAACUGGUCAUACAGCAGUCAUACAAUUUUGAUGCAAAAGUGAACCUGAAAACAUGAUAAAAUGUGGACACCUCUGGAGAAAGCUCAGUGUGUGUGGCCCGGUAGAUACAGACGAUACCUGAUACCCAAAUGCAACAAACCUUUCAGACUUCGACUACAUCAUUUAUGGAAACAGGUAGGGUUCUCCAUAAAAAACAGGGCUGGUCACCAUGAGUUUCAGAUGCCAUUGUGGAGAGGGUACGGCAGGCGUUUGCAAGGAGUUCUAUAAUAUCCGUAUGUACGGCAGCCAGGGAGUUGGAAAUGAGAAGAUCGACGUUGCACAAUGUCUUGCA